CGCGCUGCGCAACGGAGACCGUUCUCCUUGGCCGCCGCUCACGGCUCCCCCCCCCCCCCCCCCCCCCCCCCCCCCCCCCCCCCCCCCCCCUCACGGCUCGCGGCGACCACCGCCGUUGAAGCUGCAGGCGGGCAGCCGUGCGUCUCCCGGGACAGCCAGCCCCGGCGGCUGCUCCUCCCGGAUGCCAGGGCCAGGGCGCCGGGCGGCCGCCAGCAGGAGAAUGAAGAGCUCGGUGGGAGGAAGGAGAGAAAAGCUCCUGGGGGCGCCGAAAGCUCAGCCCAGCCGCGGGUGGAAGAAAGUCUGUGAUACCCAUCAUAUUGCUGGAGAAUCAUUUCUUCCUUGCCACUGUGUAAAGGUUUGUGGCUGGCUCAGAUAA
ensembl:lincRNA